rnacentral:misc_RNA from 1 species
ACCUCUAAAGGUUCAGGGCGUCUCUGAAGAUUCAUGUUACGUGGUAGUUCAAUGUUAUGGAAGUGGUUCUACCCAGAGACUUAGCCCACACCUUUGCGAGCCGCCUAAACGAUAUCCAGGAACAAGUUGAGAUAAGUUGAAAACCUCUUCAAAACAACACUACGUUAUUCAGAUCAGUCCCAGCAACAGCUUGCAAAGAAGCCAGCAUGGGGCAAAAGAUACCCCAAGCCACGUCAAAGGGGACAACAAACUGCAGAAUCUACUGGUAGUCUCAUCCCGACGCAGACUAGAUCUGUUGAACAGGUACAUCGGAUGGGAGACGAUGGCGUCCAACACCUGGUCACAUCUUCAAGGCAGCAACAACCAGAACAGCAGGCAGCAACAGUAGCAACUACAGAGCUGGGAGACGUGAAUGUCGCCAUUGGCUCUGGAGGUGGAACCAUGUCUUCAGACAGACGUCAGCGAGUCUGGAAGACCAAUAGCAGUGCCUAAGAACACCAGAGCAUCAUUUCCUUACCUUGGUGGAUCUGUCAUGGUCUGGGGUUGUCUUUUCAAUGAUUGUAAACUGGACUUGGCGACUGUUCGUGGAAAUCUCAAUGGCGACCACGACAUCCGGGACAUCCUGGGUCCAGUUCUUGUGCCACACCCAUAAGCUACUCGCCCUGUAUUUAUGGAUGACAAUGCCCGACCACACCGUUCCCGACUUGUGGCAAUUUUUCUCAAACAACACUGUAACCAAACGUCCAUUGCCUGCUAUGAGCCCGGAUCUGAACCCAUUGGAACCUGUCUGGGGCAUUCUUGGACGCCGAGUGCAAGCACUGGAUCCACCUGGACAUGAUCUGGCAUGGUAGGAAGCAUCUUUGCGCCGGGAGUAGCAGCAGCUGCCUCUGGAGCCAAUUGACUCAUGACAAGCAUGAGGAGGAGGGUCAAAGCUGUCAUCCGUGCACAGGUUUCGUGCGAUUUGUUGUCUAAGGAUGAUAGAGAACAUUUUCAGACUGAGAGACACUCGCCUCUCCUAUUUUCCUUCCCCAUAGUUGGGCAGGGAUACAUUUUGUUCACAAAACAUCGUUGACGUUUUCAUGUCAUUUUGUAAAUUAAAAAAUUGCACAUUUU